CUGGCUUAUUCUUGGGCUCACUGUCCCCUGAGGGAUGGGUUUCUAAGAGGAGCUACCCAGACCUGGCAGAAGAUGCAACAAUCCUCAUUCACAAAGGGCCUGGGGUUUGUGUGAUAAGUCCCCAAAGGCAGCUCUACUAAGUGCAGUGCUGCCCAGGAGAGGCCCACGUAAGGGAAGCAGGGCCUGGAAAGAAAUAUGUCCAGCCCGAGGAUUCAGCGUGCUAGCAACCACAGGCGAGUUCCCGUGGAAUUGCGACACCUGCUUGAAACCCAGGGACCUCAAUUCCCGUUAGAGAAGGGAGACACAGAUCUGGGAAACAAAUAGCCUCCUCUGGAAACCCAUGUGCUUCCCCAAGCUGCUCACACCUUCUCCCCUGAUAGCUCGAUGCUGUGCAGGAGAUGUGACUGCCUGUCCCCCGCCGUUCCCGGAUAGCUCUGCAUGUGCCUCCUUCCCACGCUUCACGGGGCCCAGCACUGGAAGUCUCCAUGCAGAAAACUCAGCAGUUUCCCACGAGACACUCUGCACCUGGGUGAGGGUCUGCACAGAUUUGAAGGGUGUGAAGAACUGUGUACCUGCCAUCCUGCUUAGGAGAGAGAAUACGACGCUGUGUGGCCGCCCCACCUCCACUCCCCUGACCCCACGUCCAGUGUCCGCUUUCCUGAAUCGUGCGUCUCUCAUGGGGCUGACUUUUCUGAACGUCACCUCGGACAGAUAGAGAUCUUGUUCAGUUUGGGCUGGUUUUGAUUUCUAGAAAUGGAUUCCCGCUCUCGGUACUCUACCACGACUUCUCCUUCUUCAACAAUGUAAUACAUUUUGUAUCCUAGAGGUUCUAUGCUUACUUUACUGUGGCAUUAGAUAGAAAUAUACAUAACUAGCACAUGAGCUCAUGAUUUCAUGGACAUUUUUGCUAAAUUAAAUCUUUGCAUUAAAAAUGAGCUGAGUUAGAUUGAAAAAAUAUCAAGUAAAUAUUAGUACAGGUGGCAAAUGGUUAUGGCAGAAAAAAAAAAUACUGAUCCCACUGGAAUGUGAAUAAAGUUCAGGAAACAUGGUUUUAAGUAAAGA
rnacentral:lncRNA from 1 species